rnacentral:rRNA from 1 species
UUUAAUGAGAGUUUGAUCCUGGCUCAGGACGAACGCUGGCGGCGUGCCUAAUACGUGCAAGUAGAACGCUGAUGUUUGGUGUUUACACUAGACUGAUGAGUUGCGAACGGGUGAGUAACGCGUAGGUAACCUGCCUCAUAGCGGGGGAUAACUAUUGGAAACGAUAGCUAAUACCGCAUAAGAGUGAUUAACACAUGUUAGUUAUUUA